rnacentral:rRNA from 1 species
GACGUAGGGCGCGAGCGUUGUCCGGAUUUAUUGGGCGUAAAGAGCUCGUAGGCGGCUUGUCGCGUCGGUCCGUGAAAACUUGGGGCUCAACCCCAAGCUUGCGGUCGAUACGGGCAGGCUAGAGUUCGGUAGGGGAGACUGGAAUUCCUGGUGUAGCGGUGAAAUGCGCAGAUAUCAGGAGGAACACCGGUGGCGAAGGCGGGUCUCUGGGCCGACACUGACGCUGAGGAGCGAAAGCGUGGGGAGCGAACAGG